AACCAGAGGGCCGGUUGCAUCUUUUUGCGGGACAUCAAGAAACCAGAUCAUGAUGAUUGGGAGAAUGGGUUGACAGCAAUGGAGUGUGCCUUGCAUCUGGAAAAGAAUGUGAAUCAGUCACUCCUUGAUCUGCACAAGCUGGCAACUGACAAGAAUGACCCUCAUUUGUGUGACUUCAUUGACACAGAUAGGAAGUGCAACUGUGUAUCAAAAAACUGCAG